rnacentral:tmRNA from 1 species
GGGGGUGACCGGUUUCGACUUGGGACGGUAGUUCCAGGGGAAGCGGGCCGAGGAUCGGGGUCAUCUCGUAAACGAUCUCCGAAAACCAAUAAGUGCCAAUAACACGCGCACUAACUUCGCUCUGGCUGCCUAACAGCUACCCGAAGGGUCAGACCACGGGUGCCUUCCCCGUGGACCCUGGCCUCGUCUAGAAGGCUGACCGCAUAGUCCUUGUCCGAGGGGCUGCGCGGGACACUUAUCGGACUGGGCCUGUUCACGCCGCGCCGGAAGGAGCGUGAGGGCCAAGCAGAACGUAACGCCGGCUGCGCCCGGAGAAGACCUGAAGCGCUGCUCAAGGACGGGGGUUCGACUCCCCCCACCUCCACUC